GCCUGGGUGGCCCAGUCGGUUAAGCAUCUGACUUUGGCUCAGGUCAUGAUCUCGCGGUUCGUGGGUUCGAGCCCCGUGUCAGGCU
rnacentral:tRNA from 1 species